rnacentral:rRNA from 1 species
AGAGUUUGAUCCUGGCUCAGAUUGAACGCUGGCGGAAUGCUUUACACAUGCAAGUCGAACGGCAGCACGGGGGCAACCCUGGUGGCGAGUGGCGAACGGGUGAGUAAUACAUCGGAACGUGCCCAGUCGUGGGGGAUAACGUAGCGAAAGCUACGCUAAUACCGCAUACGAACUCUGGUUGAAAGCGGGGGAUCGCAAGACCUCGCGCGAUUGGAGCGGCCGAUGGCAGAUUAGGUAGUUGGUGGGGUAAAGGCUCACCAAGCCGACGAUCUGUAGUUGGUCUGAGAGGACGACCAGCCACACUGGGACUGAGACACGGCCCAGACUCCUACGGGAGGCAGCAGUGGGGAAUUUUGGACAAUGGGCGCAAGCCUGAUCCAGCCAUUCCGCGUGCAGGAUGAAGGCCCUCGGGUUGUAAACUGCUUUUGUACGGAACGAAAAGGCUCUGGUUAAUACCCGGGGCUCAUGACGGUACCGUAAGAAUAAGCACCGGCUAACUACGUGCCAGCAGCCGCGGUAAUACGUAGGGUGCGAGCGUUAAUCGGAAUUACUGGGCGUAAAGCGUGCGCAGGCGGUGAUGUAAGACAGGUGUGAAAUCCCCGGGCUUAACCUGGGAACUGCAUUUGUGACUGCAUCGCUGGAGUGCGGCAGAGGGGGAUGGAAUUCCGCGUGUAGCAGUGAAAUGCGUAGAUAUGCGGAGGAACACCGAUGGCGAAGGCAAUCCCCUGGGCCUGCACUGACGCUCAUGCACGAAAGCGUGGGGAGCAAACAGGAUUAGAUACCCUGGUAGUCCACGCCCUAAACGAUGUCAACUGGUUGUUGGGUCUUCACUGACUCAGUAACGAAGCUAACGCGUGAAGUUGACCGCCUGGGGAGUACGGCCGCAAGGUUGAAACUUAAAGGAAUUGACGG